GACGAACGCUGGCGGCGUGCUUAACACAUGCAAGUCGAGCGGUAAGGCCCUUUCGGGGGUACACGAGCGGCGAACGGGUGAGUAACACGUGGGUGACCUGCCCUCAGCUCUGGGAUAAGCCUGGGAAACCGGGUCUAAUACUGGAUAUGACUCCAUGACGCAUGUUGUGGGGUGGAAAGCCUUGUGCGGCUGAGGAUGGGCCCGCGGCCUAUCAGCUUGUUGGUGGGGUGANGGCCUACCAAGGCGACGACGGGUAGCCGGCCUGAGAGGGCGACCGGCCACACUGGGACUGAGACACGGCCCAGACUCCUACGGGAGGCAGGCAGUGGGGAAUCUUGCGCAAUGGGCGAAAGCCUGACGCAGCGACGCCGCGUGA
rnacentral:rRNA from 1 species